ACAUUGAAACUCCAGUUCCCAUAUGAUCACUGAAGUUAAGCAAUGUUGAGCCUGGCCAGUACCUAGAUGGGUGGCCACUUGAGGAUAUCAGGUGGUGUA